rnacentral:tRNA from 1 species
UCCCUGGUGGCUCAGUGGUAAAGAAUCUGCCUGCAAUGCAGAAAACUCGGGUUCAGUCCCUGGGUCGGGAA